rnacentral:misc_RNA from 1 species
UACCCAAGGAGCUAAAGCAGUCAGCAAC